UACGUAGGUGGCAAGCGUUGUCCGGAAUUAUUGGGCGUAAAGCGCGCGCAGGCGGUCCUUUAAGUCUGAUGUGAAAGCCCACGGCUCAACCGUGGAGGGUCAUUGGAAACUGGGGGACUUGAGUGCAGAAGAGGAAAGCGGAAUUCACGUGUAGCGGUGAAAUGCGUAGAGAUGUGGAGGAACACCAGUGGCGAAGGCGGCUUCUGGUCUGUAACUGACGCUGAGGCGCGAAGCGUGGGGAGCAAACAGGA
rnacentral:rRNA from 1 species